rnacentral:lncRNA from 1 species
UUUUUUUUUUUUUUUUUUUUUUUUUUUAUCAUGAGGCAAGGUUGCAUCUGCUGGGGAAGGAGAGAGGGAAGUGUGACGACCUGACUUGUCCGCUGAAGUGUUGCGAUACCUCACAUGGAUGAGCAGGACUAUGUGCUGAGCUAGGUGCCUUGGGAGACACUGUGUAAGAGGGGAUUUCUAGGAUUUAGUUAUUCAUAUCUCCAUGUCACGUAGGGAUAUUUCCCCUGUACUCCGAGACAUAAAAAUCUCACCCCAACCAACAGAAUGACAUUUUAAUACCAAGCCCUUUGCAAAGUUCUUGGGGUUAGCGAGGGGUUGCAGGGAGGCGUCUUGAAUAGGAAAUCCUUGCAGAAAUGCCCCUCCUAUCACAUCCUAUAGGCAACUGUGUCAAAGUUUGCUUUAGAACUUUGAACUUUCCCCUUUUCUAAAACUAUUCCUUGGGUCUAAGGAAGGCACUUGCGAAAAGUGCAUUUUCUUUUAAAGGUUUUUAUUUAUUAGAGAGAGAGAGAGAGAGAGAGAGAGGGAGGGAGCACACAAGUGGGAAGGAGAGGAAGAAGCAGACUCCCUGUGAGCAAGGAGCCUGAUGCAGGACUCGAUCCCAGGACCCUGGGAUCACCACCUGAGCCAAAGGCCGACAUGCAACCAACCGAGCCGCCCAGGCGCCCUGAAAAGUGCAUUUUCUGAUUAUCAUGUCUCAGAUUCCCAUUUAGAAGCAGGAGUUUUCUAAUUUACAAUUCUCUUUCAUUUCUCUUGAACCCUUUCUAGAAUCCGCUGGCCAGUGGGCUCCAUGGACUCCAACAAGAGAAUCAGGGCACAGCCUUUGGGAGAAAUGAUGCCAUUAUCUUUUUUUUUUUUUAAGAUUUUUUUAUUUACUUAUUCAUAGAGACAGAGAGAGAGGCAGAGACACAGGCAGAGGGAGAAGCAGGUUCCCUGCAUGGAGCCCGACGCGGGACUCGAUCCCGGGUCCCCAGGAUCAGGCCCUGGGCUGAAGGCGGCGCUAAACCACUGGGCCACCAGGGCUGCCCUAUUUAUAUUUCUUAUACUUCCGUGUUUCAACUUAUUAUCAAUAAUAUAAUUAAUACUAUUUGUUACAAUUUGAUAACUAAUUAGAACAAUUCAACCUAAUAAUUAAAUUUUAAAAAUUAAUUUUACAGCUGAAUCAUUUUUAUACAUGGUAUAAAACAGACUGUGUUCCCAU